AACGAACGCUGGCGGCAGGCUUAACACAUGCAAGUCGAGCGCCCCGCAAGGGGAGCGGCAGACGGGUGAGUAACGCGUGGGAAUCUACCGUGCCCUACGGAAUAGCUCCGGGAAACUGGAAUUAAUACCGUAUACGCCCUACGGGGGAAAGAUUUAUCGGGGUAUGAUGAGCCCGCGUUGGAUUAGCUAGUUGGUGGGGUAAAGGCCUACCAAGGCGACGAUCCAUAGCUGGUCUGAGAGGAUGAUCAGCCACAUUGGGACUGAGACACGGCCCAGACUCCUACGGGAGGCAGCAGUGGGGAGUAUUGGACAAUGGGCGCAAGCCUGAUCCAGCCAUGCCGCGUGAGUGAUGAAGGCCCUAGGGUUGUAAAGCUCUUUCGGCGGGGACGAUAAUGACGGUACCCGCAGAAGAAGCCCCGGCUAACUUCGUGCCAGCAGCCGCGGUAAAAC
rnacentral:rRNA from 1 species